AUGCUCUUUGGAGUAGCAUGGGGUUCUGGGGUUAAGCCACAGAGCCCUGCUUAAAGGAGAGACAGGUGCAUGCACUGGGGACUAUUUAGAAACAGCUCUGGUGGUCUUGUAGGGUCAGAGCCACUAGAAAUUCUGUUUAUUUAUAGAUCUAUAUAUAUAUUGAGUGGUUGCUGGGGACACAUAUAAACCCUUAACUUCUUUAACUUAGCCCUGUGAAGACUGCUGGCCCUGCGCUGCUUUAGCACAAUGAUCAGUUGGCCCUGAAUGAGUUGCAGAAGGCCUUCUCCCUGAUAUAGGUACCUAACUGGGACCUCUGGGAGACUGGUCCCUGACCCAGAGUUUCAGGUGACCUUACUUCCAUUCUUUCAGUGAGAUCAUCUCCCUGCAACAAGGGUUUGGGUUGUGGACCUCAGACUAGGAAAAGUUCUUCCUGCUUAAAUUCAGUGAGCCUCAAACUUUUAAGUUUGUGGAGUCCUAGUGAGACUUAACAGGGAAAAGCCAAAAGCUACUCCUGCAGGGCCAGUGAUCAAGGACAGUUGUGAGAAUUGGUUGCAAAGCUCCAUUACAGAGAAAAUAAUAGCUAUAUCUGGCUUAGUAAAUAAAGGUAGCAGUGCAUUCUGGCUUACAGCAUAGGCCUGAUUUUACCUAGUGUUGGGUGGCCCAGGAAUCAAGGUCAGUAGUAGUUUGAUUCAGGAGUGCGUGAUAUUUGAGGCAGAAAAGGCUAGUAAUUCAAAGCAAUCUAAAGGAGAAUGAUAAUUUUAAAAUACAUAUUCAGUAAGUCUAUGGUCUUAAAAUAGUUGAAAAGAAAGUAACAGGCUUAUGAAUUUCAUUUUUGAAAAGACCAUAAAGUACAAAUUUCUCCAUGACUGACAUCAGAGUGAUACUUGGCUGCCUCUGCUGCUGCUGUCUCUUCUGUCUGACUCCAUUCGCAAUAGCCUUUUCUUCCUAUCCCUGGCUUACCGAGUAAAGUAGAAACUUGCCAUCAGCCCAGGAUUCUGUUUUUGAGGGUAGCCCCAGAGAGGAUGCUCUGUUUUCAUUAAUAAUUUUUACGGCUCUCAAUAUAAAUCCUUUUUAUACUUAUUAUAUUCUGUCUCUUGGGGUAACAAAGUAGUGUACCCAUUAAGUGAACAUAUUCCUUCUAAUUAGUUUAGAGCCCAGCUGCAUUAACCUUGAGGGAUGUUCAGUUACAGUAUUCAAGGUUCUGAACUCCCCAUCAGCCUUUACCUUUUCAUGUUGAAAGCCCAGUUAUUUAAAACUUGUCCUUCCAUUUAAUCUGUUCAUAAUGGCCUUGGGAAGAAAGAGCUGGAAACCUGCAGUCCUUAAUUCCUUUCAGAGCAAAAAGUGGGAAGUCUAGUAAGGCAGACCUUUUAGUCUCUAUAAUAAAAGAAUACCAGUAUCAGUCUCGAAAAAGGAGUGUGUCACUUCAGGGAUUUUUUAAAUCACCUCUCUAAAUCUGCAGUCUUGUGUUAUCUCUCAAAUUUAGGAAAUAGAAAUGUGCAAACUAGAAUAGGGAUUUUUAGGAUGGAAUGAAAACCUAUACCUGUACCUAACCUAGCUCUCUUUCCAAACCGUUUAUAUCAAACACUGUUUUGAAUAUGUACUUGGCCUCUGUUAAAAUGAUGGUUUUAGGAAAGGAGCUAGGUUUGGACAGAAUAGCUAUAUAAAGCCAGGAGUUCUCGUAGUAGUAUUGCUGACAUGACCAGGAAGGACAAGCAGCUUAGCUUCUCAGAUCAAAAACAAGUACCAGUAGUUCCUGCUUAAGGCUGGUAAAUAAUAUCUUGAAAUUCUCAAGUUGGAAACCAGUCUCAAACCCAUUUCUUUGCAAGAAGUUGUAUAUUUAGGGUCAUGGUUAGGCUUUCCAGUCUAGGAGUCCUUACAGUGGUCUGUUUCUUGAUAGCAUGCUUUUACAGUCUGCAUGGUUGUAAUAACGCUUUUGGUAUAGUGAUUGUCUUGAGUACUGCUUGACUCUUGUCUUGAUGCCCACAAAUGGCUAGCGUGCUUGUCUUCCCAUGCAGUAGAAGGAAGACAUUUAAAUGAAAUAGUAGUAUUAGAUAUAUAUGAAAAAGAAAACUGCAAAAUAAAUUUGAAGUUAAUGCUUUCGUCUCUUGUAAGGUAAGGCAUAUACUGCUUGCUUACACAAGAACUAUUGGCAUUUUCUUUUUUUCGUUUGAAACAAAUAUGAAAAAUAGUAUUUUGGUUUUAAGAAAUUUUUAUUUUAGCAUACAACAUAUAACUGACAUUUGUUUUUCUUUUUUGUCUUGUAAACUUAAUUCUUAAAACUUAGGAAAAUUUUUGGAUGGGACAACUUGGUGAUUCAGCUAUAACAGAUCUUAUUUCAAUAAUAACUUUACUGCAGUAUGUAUUCAUACAUUUUCAAAUGUGUGCCUUAGGAAAUCACAAGUGCUUUUAUAGUGUGAAGUGUUAAUGGCUGAAUCCAACUGAAUCACCAACUAGUAAGUGGGGGUCUGGUUGAUGUUCUGGAAUAAUAUUGGGAGAUUGUGAAUUGUGCCAGACAUACCAACUGAACUUUCAUUCAUUAUCAAAGUUUGCAAAACUUCCCAAGCCCCUUAACAUUUAGCACAUUUGAGGAUGUUCGUGAUGCUGAAGACGCUUUACAUAAUUUGGACAGAAAGUGGAUUUGUGGACGGCAGAUUGAAAUACAGUUUGCCCAGGGGGAUCGAAAGACACCAAAUCAGAUGAAAGCCAAGGAAGGGAGGAAUGUGUACAGUUCUUCACGCUAUGAUGAUUAUGACAGAUACAGACGUUCUAGAAGCCGAAGUUAUGAAAGGAGGAGAUCAAGAAGUCGGUCUUUUGAUUACAACUAUAGAAGAUCGUAUAGUCCUAGAAACAGUAGACCGACUGGAAGACCACGGCGUAGCAGAAGCCAUUCCGACAAUGAUAGAUUCAAACACCGAAAUCGAUCUUUUUCAAGAUCUAAAUCCAAUUCAAGAUCACGGUCCAAGUCCCAGCCCAAGAAAGAAAUGAAGGCUAAAUCACGUUCUAGGUCUGCAUCUCACACCAAAACUAGAGGCACCUCUAAAACAGAUUCCAAAACACAUUAUAAGUCUGGCUCAAGAUAUGAAAAGGAAUCAAGGAAAAAAGAACCACCUAGAUCCAAAUCUCAGUCAAGAUCACAGUCUAGGUCUAGGUCAAAAUCUAGAUCAAGGUCUUGGACUAGUCCUAAGUCCAGUGGCCACUGAUAGUAUAAACCAUGGUCAUUUUUAGGCAUGUAUCAUUCAUUUACUCAUAGUUUGGUUUACUUAAAUUAUCAGGAAUACAAUGUUGCAAUGAUGCUUAAAAAACACUUGUUAGUUUUCCCUGUACCAGGCAAUGGUUAUAAUUAAAAUGAUAUGCUGUUGAGAAGCCACUCUUAAGAGUCCAGUUUGUUUAAUGUUAUGGGCAGCUACCAAUUUGUGGUGUCUCUGUAUAUUUUUGUAAAGAUUCUCAUUUUUUAUGCUUGAAGUAUUUGGUGAAAAGAUGUUGGUUGACCAUAAUUUGCAACAUUGUCUCAUUAAAAAUAAACUUUCAUAUUCAUAUUUGGUAGAACUGUUAACCUAGAAAUGUAGCUUGCUAAUAAGAUAGAAUGAUACAAAAGUGAAGUAGUAGCCACAGUACAACACUGACUGCUCAGACACAUUUAGGUUCAGGGUGGACCUUUAUGUCUUGUCAAGAUGUCUAGGCCUGGCUGGGCGCGGUGGCUCACACCUGUAAUCCCAGCACUUUGGGAGGCCGAGGCGGGCGGAUCACGAGGUCAGGAGUUCGAGACCAGCCUGACCAACAUGGUGAAACCCCGUCUCUACUAAAAAUACGAAAAUUAGCCAGGCAUGGUGGCGCAUGCCUGUAAUCUCAGCUACUCAGGAGGCUGAGGCAAGAGAAUCGCUUGAACCUGGGAGGUAGAAGUUGCAGUGAGCCAAAAUCACGCCACUGCACUCCAGCCUGGGCAACAGAGUGAGACUCCGUCUC
rnacentral:sRNA from 1 species